rnacentral:tRNA from 1 species
GAGGGUAUAGCUCAGUGGUAGAGCACGUGCUAAGCACGCGCCAGGUCCUGGGUUCAACCCCCAGCACCUCCA